rnacentral:rRNA from 1 species
UGGGCGCUAGAUGUGGGUCACAUUCCACGUGAUCCGUGUCGCAGCUAACGCAUUAAGCGCCCCGCCUGGGGAGUACGGCCGCAAGGCUAAAACUCAAAGGAAUUGACGGGGGCCCGCACAAGCGUCGGAGCAUGCGGAUUAAUUCGAUGCAACGCGAAGAACCUUACCAAGGCUUGACAUAUAGAGGAAAACUGCAGAAAUGUAGUCCCCGCAAGGUCUCUAUACAGGUGGUGCAUGGUUGUCGUCAGCUCGUGUCGUGAGAUGUUGGGUUAAGUCCCGCAACGAGCGCAACCCUCGUCCUAUGUUGCCAGCACGUUAUGGUGGGAACUCAUGGGAGACUGCCGGGGUCAACUCGGAGGAAGGUGGGGAUGACGUCAAAUCAUCAUGCCCCUUAUGUCUUGGGCUUCACGCAUGCUACAAUGGCCGGUACAAAGGGCUGCAAUACCGCAAGGUGGAGCGAAUCCCAAAAAGCCGGUCUCAGUUCGGAUUGAGGUCUGCAACUCGACCUCAUGAAGUCGGAGUCGCUAGUUAUCGCAGAUCAGCAACGCUGCGGUGAAUACGUUCCCGGGCCUUGUACACACCGCCCGUCAAGUCACGAAAGUCGGUAACACCCGAAGCCGGUGGCCUAACCGUAAGGAAGGAGCCGUCGAAG